rnacentral:rRNA from 1 species
CCUACGGGAGGCUGCAGUGAGGAAUAUUGGUCAAUGGGCGUAAGCCUGAACCAGCCAAGUCGCGUGAGGGAUGAAGGUUCUAUGGAUCGUAAACCUCUUUUAUAAGGGAAUAAAGAGCGGGACGUGUCCCGUUUUGUAUGUACCUUAUGAAUAAGCAUCGGCUAACUCCGUGCCAGCAGCCGCGGUAAUACGGAGGAUCCGAGCGUUAUCCGGAUUUAUUGGGUUUAAAGGGUGCGUAGGCGGCCUUUUAAGUCAGCGGUGAAAGUCUGUGGCUCAACCAUAGAACUGCCGUUGAAACUGGGAGGCUUGAGUAGGUUGGAGGUAUGCGGAAUGCGUGGUGUAGCGGUGAAAUGCAUAGAUAUCACGCAGAACCCCGAUUGCGAAGGCAGCAUGCCAAGCCAUGACUGACGCUGAGGCACGAAAGCGUGGGUAUCGAACAGGAUUAGAUACCCGUGUAGUC